rnacentral:lncRNA from 1 species
GAUGCAAGCAGAAGGAGCCCAAGCCUGGCCUGGCCUCCUCGGUGAAGGCCGCGUGUGCCAGGGGCGAGGUUCUCUAGGCCCACAGGGUGAACGGGCUUCCGUUUGGGAUGGCGAACCAAGGCCGUGUUAACAAUCGAUCGUAAUAAAAGCUUUCCAGUGUUGCCGGGGUGGCGGGGGUGGGGAGAGGGCCAGGAAAAAACCAGCCUGAGCUUUUGAAGUUUGACUCUGUACCUGCGGGGUGCGUCUCCGGGCCGGGUUGGGACCUGCCUGCCACGGAGGCUCUGCUGUCCCCACACCAACCAGUCUCCCGGGUUGCUUCUCUCUCCUUCUCUGCCGGCAGCCUCCACGCCUUCCACGGAGCGGGGGCAGUUGCAAACGUAGGAGAGGGGGGCUCCCUGGGAAGGGGAGCCGGGCCCCCGACUCCAAGGAAGGAGGUCAGCCCCGUCCCCACGGGGCCCCAGGGGGAGUCGUGCCUUAGAGACCCCGGGUGGUCCAGUUCCACUUGUCUGUUUUUAUGGGACUCACCCGUCCUCCCCGCUGCCCCUGACCCCCCCCCCCCGCCACGAAGUCCCUGCCAGCUCCACUGUCUGCAGACGCCGGGUCGACCUGGCACCUGCACCCCCCCUGCCCCCCAAGGUGGCAGCACAGGUGAGCCCGGGGGGGUGCCCACCAGGCUGCACCCCGCUGCCGAAUGCAGAGGGACCUCCUAGGAAAGUCCACUUUCAUCCUUGUCAGCCACACGUCCAGGCACCUUGAUCAGGAAGGGGCUGGGGGCCUCUCAUUUGUCACUGGCUUGUGGCUCUGCGGGGCUAAGAGCUGCCCAGGGCAGGCCUGUUCCUGGCGAGGGAAGCGGCUGGCGGGAGCCAGGCCCCAGGACGGAGUAGACUGCCCUCCUCACGAGCGGCCAGGCGGGUCAGGAGUUGGAAAGCCCAGUCCCCAGCCUGCCUACCUAGGCUGUUCCAGGACAGCUCACCACCAAAGGGGCGGGGCUCCAGCCCGGGCGGGAGACGGAGGCUGCGUGCAGGUGGGUGAGGCCCACGGAGAGGCGGGGACCUGCGGUGGUGGGGCCUGCGACCUCUUCCCCCUUCCUCUUCUCCUGCAGCAGCUGGAGGCCCGGCCCUGAGGUCUGAGCCUGGCUCUCCACUCCCACCCAGAGACACGCCUGACCCACACCCCGCCCUAGCCUCAGACCCCACUCUCAUUUCUGGUCCAGGAGGAUCUCCCCGAGGCAGGUGGGGGCAGCGCUUUCUUCUCAGGAUCUGCUGGAGGGGCCUUCGCUCCCUCCGCACCCUGAGCCCGCUGGCUUUCUCACUCAGCCUUAGUCCUGGGGGGUGAUGUGGAGUCCCUGUGGGUCACCCCCACCCCCCACCCCCACCCCCCACCCAGAUCUCAGGCUGAGCCGGGAGGGGAGGAGGCAGUCUGGUCCCUCGGGGCGGGCACACGGGCCUGGCGGCCCAACCCCCGACUCAGCCCAUCCCGGGUAGAGCCCUGGACCCCCCAAGGUCCUGGCCGACCCGGGGGCCUGGUGCUCCUCCUCUCGGGCCUGCCUGCCUCCAGGCCCCGUGCCUGACGGCUUGGGCCUCGGUCCCUGCAGGAGAGCCAUCCCAAGCUGCCUUUUACUUCUCACCAAAGGCAGAUGCUACGUUUUCGAACUCUGCUGCCCUCUUUUUCCCUCCUCUGUAUUUUAUUUAUUUAUUGAUUGAUUGAUUGCUUCUGCUAAAGACCAAAAUAGUCUCCCUCUUUAGUGCCCUUGAACCGGGAGGGCGGAUGGGAGGGGCUGUGUGUGCAGAGGGAGGAUCACGUGGUCCCUGGGGCGGUGUGCCUGUGUGUGCAGCGUGGGGCCCACGCUCACCCAGCGAGCGUGCGGCGUGCCGCGUGCUGCGUGUGUGCCAAGCGCGCGUGUACGUGAUACGUGACCGGUGCGCUGUGCAGGUGGGUGUGUGCCUGCCCCGCCCCCGCCCCCGCCCCCCGCGGUGGUAUUUCCGGGAAGUUUCCUGCCGGCCUGGGCCCGGUGGUGCAGAGGCUGGAGUGGCCCAGGGCCCUCUGCCCCGAAACACCGAGCUGCUUCCGCGGAGAGGGGCCACGGGGCAAGCGUGUGUGUGCCCCGAGGCGUGACUUCCCACGUGUCUGCGUGUGAGUGAACCGGUCCCGUGUGGCUUUGCCUGUCUGUGCAGGAUCGUGUGAGGUCAUCGUACAGGAGUGGACACGUGUCGUGCAGGUGUGUGCACACGGCGACCUGCGUCUGUGAGUCUGCGCUGAUGGCACCUGAGCAUGAUACGUACGUGUGGGGACACACGCACUCACACGUUCCAGGUGUAUCUACCUGUAGGUCUGUGUGCACUCGCUGUAUACUCAGGCUUUUAAAUGUUUACGAGGCUGGAGGCUGGCACGCCGCACUCAGGAUGGACCCCGGCCGUGGACGUGGGCACAGCUGGACCUGGUGGUCCCACCAGCCUCUGCCUUGGUGAUGUCCACGUGGGUGGGUACGCAUGCUGCACGUGUGGCAGGGUGAGGCUUCUGUGUCCUGGGCACGAGGUGACACCUACACGUGUGCAAAGGUGAGCACGUGCACACGAGUGCAUGUAGGAGGCCCGUGUACACGCGUGUGGUGCCUGCGUGCAGCAGCCGGCCCGGGCUGCAGGCUGUGUGCCUGGCUUCGUGAACCUGUGCGGGUCCCGGAGCGUGUGAGCAUGAAUGUCCGUGGGGGGUGGCGUGUCCACGUGCAGGCCCACGCGGGUCGCUCAGAGCCCGGUCCCCCGCCCCGUCCCCCCUGGUGCUGUGCCGCCCGGUCCCCGCCCGCCCGCCCGAGGGCCCCGGAGGGGGGUGGGGGGCCUGGUGGGAAGGAGGCUCCUGCACAAGGGGUGUCUGCCUGUGUGAGGUCACGUAGACGUCGACUCUAUUUUAAACGGUGAAAUGAAAUCUCAUGUUAUUUUCCAAUACGUAGCAGUAUCGAAAGACAUAGGCCACGAGGCUAGACCGCAUUAAAUGCAUUUGACCUCUUU